GGCUCGGUGGUGAGUGGUUCACACUCGCAUGUCAUGCGUAUGGUAUGCGUAUAGAUUCAGCGAGAGCCGCGCGUUCGAUUUGCGCCCGAGCCA